rnacentral:rRNA from 1 species
UGCUUACACAUGCAGUCGAACGGUCUUUUAGGAGACAGUGGCGGACGGGUGAGUAACGCAGUAAGAAUCUACCCUCAGGUCGGGGACAACCACUGGAAACGGUGGCUAAUACCGGAUGUGCCGAGAGGUGAAAGGCUUGCUGCCUGGGGAAGAGCUUGCGUCUGAUUAGCUAGUUGGUAGUGUAAGAGACUACCAAGGCGACGAUCAGUAGCUGGUCUGAGAGGAUGAUCAGCCACACUGGGACUGAGACACGGCCCAGACUCCUACGGGAGGCAGCAGUGGGGAAUUUUCCGCAAUGGGCGAAAGCCUGACGGAGCAAUACCGCGUGAGGGAGGAAGGCUCUUGGGUUGUAAACCUCUUUUCUCAGGGAAGAAAAAAAUGACGGUACCUGAGGAAUAAGCAUCGGCUAACUCCGUGCCAGCAGCCGCGGUAAUACGGAGGAUGCAAGCGUUAUCCGGAAUGAUUGGGCGUAAAGGGUCCGCAGGUGGCAUUGUAAGUCUGCUGUUAAAGAGUUUGGCUCAACCAAAUAAAAGCAGUGGAAACUACAAAGCUAGGAGUUUG